rnacentral:rRNA from 1 species
ACGGGAGGCAGCAGUGAGGAAUAUUGGUCAAUGGGCGGAAGCCUGAACCAGCCAAGUCGCGUGAAGGAUGAAGGUAUUAUGUAUUGUAAACUUCUUUAGACGCAGAGAAAUAAGAGGGUCGUGACCCUUGAUGCUAGUAUGCGUAGAAUAAGGAUCGGCUAACUCCGUGCCAGCAGCCGCGGUAAUACGGAGGAUCCGAGCGUUAUCCGGAUUUAUUGGGUUUAAAGGGAGCGUAGGCCGUGCUUUAAGCGUGUUGUGAAAUGUAGGCGCCCAACGUCUGCACUGCAGCGCGAACUGGAGCACUUGAGUACGCAGGAAGUAGGCGGAAUUCGUCGUGUAGCGGUGAAAUGCUUAGAUAUGACGAAGAACUCCGAUUGGGAAGCCAGCUUACUGUAGCGCCACUGACGCUGAUGCUCGAAAGCGUGGGUAUCGAACAGGAUUAGAUACCCUGGUA